ACCAGGGGCGGAGCGGGGGGGUGGCUUUUGGGGCUCGAGCCCCGAAUGUUUUGUCAAAAGCCCCGAAUCUUUUCAGAUCUGUAAAAUGAAUUCAUCCAGGACGCUAGGUGGCGGCACUCAGCUUUAACUCUCCGGUCCCCCACUCAGCUGAAAAUGAAUAAGAGAUGCGUGUUGAAUGCAAAAUAACAUUCUGAAUCUCCCCACAGUAAACGCAUUUUCAAAGUGUCUUUAUUAUUACAGUGCCUUCGUUAUUACUGUAAGUGUAUAUUUAUAGUUAUGUGAUGUAAAUACUGUUAAAUAGCGUCAACUGAUAUAUUAUCUGCAUGGCUAACGUCUAACUUACUGUGGUGCUCUGGUCUAGUCUGCCUCAUUGGUCAUUGAUGGAUAUACGAUUUAUAUUUUUAAAGACGUCAGAAGUAAGAAGUGCAAAUAGGAAGAGAGGAGGGUGGAGAGAGAUCACAGACAGACAGAUAGACAG